rnacentral:rRNA from 1 species
GUGGGGAAUAUUGCACAAUGGGCGAAAGCCUGAUGCAGCGACGCCGCGUGAGUGAAGAAGUAUUUCGGUAUGUAAAGCUCUAUCAGCAGGGAAGAAAAUGACGGUACCUGACUAAGAAGCCCCGGCUAACUACGUGCCAGCAGCCGCGGUAAUACGUAGGGGGCAAGCGUUAUCCGGAUUUACUGGGUGUAAAGGGAGCGUAGACGGCGAAGCAAGCCUGAAGUGAAAACCCAGGGCUCAACCCUGGGACUGCUUUGGAAACUGUUUUGCUAGAGUGUCGGAGAGGUAAGUGGAAUUCCUAGUGUAGCGGUGAAAUGCGUAGAUAUUAGGAGGAACACCAGUGGCGAAGGCGGCUUACUGGACGAUAACUGACGUUGAGGCUCGAAAGCGUGGGGAGCAAACAGGA